CCUUAUCAAGAGCGGCUGAGGGACUGGCCCGAUGAAGCCCGGCAACCGGCGGAAGAUCCGCGAGGUGCCAAUUCCAGCGGCGGGAUGACCGCCGGCAGAUAAGG
rnacentral:ncRNA from 1 species